rnacentral:rRNA from 1 species
UUAAUUGAAGAGUUUGAUCAUGGCUCAGAUUGAACGCUGGCGGCAGGCCUAACACAUGCAAGUCGAGCGGUAACAGAAAGUAGCUUGCUACUUUGCUGACGAGCGGCGGACGGGUGAGUAAUGCUUGGGAACAUGCCUUGAGGUGGGGGACAACAGUUGGAAACGACUGCUAAUACCGCAUAAUGUCUACGGACCAAAGGGGGCU